rnacentral:rRNA from 1 species
GACGAACGCUGGCGGCGUGCCUAAUACAUGCAAGUAGAACGCUGAAGGAGGAGCUUGCUUCUCUGGAUGAGUUGCGAACGGGUGAGUAACGCGUAGGUAACCUGCCUGGUAGCGGGGGAUAACUAUUGGAAACGAUAGCUAAUACCGCAUAAUAGUAGAUGUUGCAUGACAUUUGCUUAAAAGGUGCAAUUGCAUCACUACCAGAUGGACCUGCGUUGUAUUAGCUAGUUGGUGGGGUAACGACUCACCAAGGCGACGAUACAUAGCCGACCUGAGAGGGUGAUCGGCCACACUGGGACUGAGACACGGCCCAGACUCCUACGGGAGGCAGCAGUAGGGAAUCUUCGGCAAUGGACGGAAGUCUGACCGAGCAACGCCGCGUGAGUGAAGAAGGUUUUCGGAUCGUAAAGCUCUGUUGUAAGAGAAGAACGAGUGUGAGAGUGGAAAGUUCACACUGUGACGGUAUCUUACCAGAAAGGGACGGCUAACUACGUG